CGCGCAGGACGCGGCGCUGCAGGAGCGGCGCCGCUUUAACGCUGCUUUAACCGCUUCCUGCCCAAAAUGUGCGGCACUUCCCGCUCUGCCACCGCAAGCUCACUCCCGGGAAACACAAAAUACCCCCAACUCUCGCCGUUUAAGCGUUUCCCCGCCAUCCUGCAGGUGACGCUCCCCGCGGCCAGCGCAGCCCCGGCCGCUCGCUGCCGGCCCGGCCCGGCCCGCUCCGGCGCGGUCCCCGCUGGAAACCGGCCCGAAGGCUGCACGCAGCCCCAGCGGGGCUGGCAGCCCGCCAGCGGGGCUCCUGCUGCUGCCCCGGAUCCUGCCCCGGAUCCUGCCCCUCCUGGCCAGCUCCGCCAGCCGGGACACGCCAGCGGCAGCAAAGCGUUCCAUGGGGACCGCAGAAACCACUUCACCUCUUCGACCUUCAGCCUGGCCACUUGCAGCCGGCUGGCGCUGACUGUGCCCAGCACAGAGCCCGGCACGCCCGGGGUGCCACAAACCCGCUGGAAAUUCCUGCAGCGAAGGCUCUUCCCUGCUCUGCUGCCUCCACAGCAGGAACGCAGCUCUGCCAAGAAAAAAGUGCUUUAUACCAUGGUUUGCCUGCAAAGGGAAGGAGCUGCAGCAGUGCCAGCUGUGCUCACCGUCACAGAGAGAACCGGCCCCGGGGAGCUGUGCUGAGCAAAAACAAAACCUGUCCUGCUCGACUGCAGAGCUAGCUUUCCAGGCUGCAACAUGAGACUGAGGAGUUGGCAUUUAGGAUGGGGACAAAUGGGACACUCACAGGGCUGACAACACCCCAGUGCCCAGGUGGGUGAGGCUCCACACAGCCACACAUCACACCCCAGCACGUCAGUAUGUGGCAUUUUGGAAACGAAGACAAGUCUGCAGAGAAGUUAUCUCCUAAUUCCCACCAGUAUCAGCAGGAGCUGUAGCAACACAGAUUUCCAAGGUAUUCAGUGAUAACCUCCAAAACCCACAACAGGGAGAUUUAAUUUCACUUUUAAAGCCCAUAAAACAACUCAGUGUUAUUCUGUGUACAAAGAGCAAGAGCUUUGCUGCUGUGUUGGCCGACUGGAGAUCAGAUACCACAGCAGAUUUGGGUAAGGUCAGUGUGAACAGAUUGAAAUAAGAUUUUUGGUUUUCCCAUUACAAGAGAAUUUGUUUAAAUUCAGCCUCAAUAAUUGGCCUAAAGUCAGGCUGCUUUGACUUGUAGAUUUAUGAAAAGAGGGAAAUAUCCUUCCCUUUAGCACUUCUCUUCAGGUUUUAUUCAGCUGCAAAGAACUCGAUUCCUGUACCUGAGUGUUUAGGACACAUUUUUAAUGUGUAAUAACAUCAGCAAGGCAAGAGGUCACUUUUCUAAAGAAGCACCAGCAAAGCCUCGCCAGGCUCCACUCUGGACCCAGGAGCACCACGGCUGCUUCACACACUGGGAAACCAGAGGAACAGAAAUGUGAGCAGGAAACUCCAGCUUUAGACCUUUGGUUGCCACAGGACAAAGCCCCUCUGACAGGUGUACACAAAACUCUUUUGAUACUAUAAAUACACACAUAAACCAGAUCAAAUCAGGAAGUAAAAAGGACCUUAUAGUGUAAACCUGGGGUUUAAGGAUGAAAACAAUAAAGAGAGGAAAAAGAAAGCAGGAGAUCUUUCUUUUGCUGGACAA